rfam:Candidatus Levybacteria bacterium RIFCSPHIGHO2_02_FTLL_37_10 rifcsphigho2_02_scaffold_11452, whole genome shotgun sequence.
GGACGGUUAGCUCAGCGGUAGAGCGCUUCGUUUACAUCGAAGAUGUCAGGGGUUCAAGUCCCUUACCGUCCA